CUGAUCUUCCUUGAUAAGCUGUCUAAAAUAAGACUCUGGAUUCUGCAGAAAUGUCCCCCCCAGCAGUAAAUCUCAACGACAAUGUGCAGUAGACGAAAGAUAAAAGCGACGAACCUGAUCCGAAUCCAGAAGGCAGUAGUUAACCCGUAACUGAACCAGCUGCGCCAGCAAAUCCAAAACCUGCUUCUGUAACUGCACAGAGGUUGUUGUCGUGUACUGUUUUAAAGCUUUUAUAACAAGAGGCUCAAAUAAACGAAUGUGAUUAUGAA